rnacentral:lncRNA from 1 species
CUUGGUCAGUAAUAUUGGACCCAGUGUAGAGUUCUUUAUCUUACCGAGACACUAAGAAUUGCUUUCAGGGGUUCGUGGACUAAACUCCUGCUGUCCAGUCUGGGGGCAUCAUCUCUGAGGCUGCAUGUUAAUAUGCAGACCAUAACCACCAGUCAGAGACAGACUGCAGAGGAUCAAUAAGUCUCGGCAUGCCAGCCCUGCAGGCUUUCAGGAAGUCGGCAGCCCCCACCUUCGGUGAGACCCUGUAGACCUUCUUGAUUUCCUAUUCUGGUUGUCAGUGUUUUAUGCUUGCUCCGAGGUUUGCUUCUCAUUCUGCAUUCUCCAUGUUCCUUUUCCAAAUGGGAGCACAAGCAGGAAGCAUCAUCAGCUUCGUUGCUGUGACUCUGCUGUGACUCUUCUCUCCAAGGACAGUGUGAGACAAACCUCAGCCCAGGAUGAUCCUGGAUGCAUCCACCAAGAGAUUUGCAAACUCAGGAUUAAGCUUAAAAACACUCACAAAAGGUUGGAAAAUGUAUAAUCUUAGAAUAUCUGGAGGUUCCGAAUGUAUCCUGAGCUGAAAGCACAACUUCAGGCUCAAGAAUGACAAUUUCAGAAAUGCACACAACUGGACAGUGAGCAUGCUCCGAAGUGCACACAACUGGACAGUGGGCAUGCUCAGAAGUGCACACAACUGGACAGUGAGCAAGCACAGCUCACCUUUAUUCCAUUUUUUUUCUGAGUCUAUGUGAAGGAUCCCUAAAUCAGGGCUCUGUGUUGUUUCUCUACCUCGUGUACCAUGUCUCUGACUCUGAUGAUUUUGUGUCAGCUAUCGUCACAUUUCUUUUAUGUGUCUUGCAUUUAUUGACCCACUUCAGUUUUAAAUGAAAGCUUCUUGAUCAUUUUGACAAAGUGUUUGUCCUUUGUUCUUCCACUUCUCCAGCGUGCUUGCUUAUGAGUGGCUUCUACAUAAGCGUCUGGGUCUUCAUGAUAUGCCAAUUGGUCAUGAGUUUGUUAGGGAAAUCUUAGCAAGACUGGGUAUUUUUGUACAAUUUAUAAUUCAGACGAUGCUACAGACAAUCAGAAAAAGUAGGGUGGCAAUGUGCUGAGGGC